UUAAUAUUUUUAUUUUU
rnacentral:misc_RNA from 1 species